CAAACAUGCCGGGGAAGCGGGUCAGCUUGGAAAGUGUGAACGAGAUAACUGCAGCCAUGUUCCCCCAUAGCUGGAUAAACACUCCCCGCGAGGCUGACUGUUUUCUCAGACUGUCAGGGGUUUCCUGUGUCUUAACAUCCUUGAAAUGGUAUCAGCUGUCAACUUUCCAGUCAGCUUACCUGAACUUUAUCAGCCCUUACCUCCGUGCUCCCUCUCCUCCUCUUUUGGAGGAAUGAGAAGGGGAAGGGGCAGUCUGAAGGGGAAGAAAAACAAACCACGCCAAGAAGACCAGGCCCAAGAACUUAUCAAACACACCAGGACCAAGGAAGGGGAUAGCUGCCUCAGCUGACCCCAUAAAGGUGACAUCUACCAAAUGGAUGUGGCUGCACAUGCCUCUAAUUCCAGCACUCGGGAGACAGAGGCAGGCAUAUGUGAGUUGGAAGCCAACCUGGUCUACAGGACAGCCAGGGCUACAUAGUGAGAUGCUGUCUCAAAAGAAAGGGGGUUGAGAAAAAGAAAAAGAAGGAAGAUGACAUCAACCUCUGAGAUGGAACGGCCCCACCAACCUGUCAUCUGACCACCUGGAGGUAUGCUAAGUGACUGACAGGCAAGAGCUGACUUAUCUCAGUUCUUUCCCUAUGGAUCACUUGGCUGACUUGAGUUUCCAUUCUUUCUUCUGCCUCUUUGUCUAGACUGGGUUCUGUACUCUACCUCUGCAAACUCCAUGGUAUUCCCCCCGCCCUCUAGCUUCCAAAAUUCAGCCUCAAGACUGGGUUCAAACCUGGGGCUCUGCAGCAGCACCCACAGGAGAUGUCCUCUCUUUCUUUCCGGCUGAUUUUCAGCAAGGUGCAUUGUUUAUCUCCUGCCAAUUCUCUUC
rnacentral:lncRNA from 1 species